GUACAGACCAGAACAGCUGGUUGGGGUCGACAAAUCGCGUCUCCAUGUUGGACACAUCAUAGUAACUGAUAAUACUUUGCUCCAGACACACAAGUGCUUUAUCCUCCUCACUCUGGGAAAGUUCAAAGUUGGCUGCAUAGUGAUACAAUUUGGCACAGAACUCGUUAGCUGCGAGGGCAUCCGCAAACACCUGAGAUAUCGAAAGUUAAUUUAAGGACAGCAUCACGAAAUAGCAGACAUAUUACAAAGGGCAGAUGACCAUAUAUGGCAGUGACAUAUUACACAGGUCAGAUGACCAUAUAUGGCAGUAGCAUAUUACAAAGGGCAGAUGACCAUAUAUGGUAGUUACACAUUACACAGGGCAGAUGACCAUAUAUGGUAGUUACACAUUACACAGGGCAGAUGACCAUUAAAAUUAUGUAAUAUUGGGUGACAGUAUGUUGGUAAUGUGAUGAAAAUGUAAACAAUUGGAGACCAAAUUGUGACUGAGUUUGGUGACAGAGUUGUGACUGAGUAUUGUGACAGAUGUGACUGAGUGUGGUGACAUAUGUGACUAAGUGUUGUGACUUAGUAUGGUGAAAGAGGUGAGACCGAGUUUGGUGACAGAGUUGAGACUGAUUAUUGCGUCAGUUGUGACUGAGUUUGGUGACAAGAGUUGUGACUUAAUAUGGUCACAGAGUUGUGACUGAGUGUGGUAAUAGUUGUGACUGAGUGUGGUGACAGUUGUGACUGAGUGUGGUAAUAGUUGUGACUGAGUGUGGUAAUAGUUGUGACUGAGUGUGGUGACAGUUGUGACUGAGUGUGGUAAUAGUUGUGACUGAGUGUGGUGACAGUCGUGACUGAGUGUGGUAAUAGUUGUGACUGAGUGUGGUGACAGUUGUGACUGAGUGUGAUAAUAGUUGUGACUGAGUGUGGUGACAGUCGUGACUGAGUGUGGUAAUAGUUGUGACUGAGUGUGGUGACAGUUGUGACUGAGUGUGGUUAAUAGUUGUGACUGAGUGUGGUGACAGUUGUGACUGAGUGUGGUGACAGUUGUGACUGAAUGUGGUAAUAGUUGUGACUGAGUGUGAUAAUAGUUGUGACUGAGUGUGGUGACAGUCAUGACUGAGUG